UGAGGAAUAUUGGUCAAUGGGCGAGAGCCUGAACCAGCCAAGUCGCGUGAGGGAAGAAUGGUCUAUGGCCUGUAAACCUCUUUUGUCAGGGAAGAAUAAGGAUGACGAGUCAUUCGAUGCCAGUACUUGACGAAUAAGCAUCGGCUAACUCCGUGCCAGCAGCCGCGGUAAUACGGGGGAUGCGAGCGUUAUCCGGAUUUAUUGGGUUUAAAGGGCGCGUAGGCGGGACGUCAAGUCAGCGGUAAAAGACUGCAGCUAAACUGUAGCACGCCGUUGAAACUGGCGCCCUGGAGACGAGACGAGGGAGGCGGAACAAGUGAAGUAGCGGUGAAAUGCAUAGAUAUCACUUGGAACCCCGAUAGCGAAGGCAGCUUCCCAGGCUCGUUCUGACGCUGAUGCGCGAGAGCGUGGGUAGCGAACAGGAUUAGAUACC
rnacentral:rRNA from 1 species